rnacentral:lncRNA from 1 species
GAUUUUGCCCGAAAUGUGAAAAGAAAUUAUUAGUCAUUAGGUCUAGCAUAUACACUUGAUUUUUCGGGAUAAAUCCCGAAAUAUUUGAAGACAUCUGUGUACAUAUUUUGUAGUUAGUUAAUUUUUGUCGGGAUAUUUCCCGAAAUGUGUUUCAGAUAUUUUUGUUAAAACGCUCUGCCAACAUAUAUGUUAUAAAUAAUAAUGUUGAAAAUGAUUUCGGGACAUUUCCCGAAA